AAUAGAUACCCGGUAGUCCAUGCCGUAAACGUUGGGAACUAGAUGUAGGGCCUGUUCCACGGGUUCUGUGUCGUAGCUAACGCAUUAAGUUCCCCGCCUGGGGAGUACGGCCGCAAGGCUAAAACUCAAAGGAAUUGACGGGGGCCCGCACAAGCGGCGGGAGCAUGCGGAUUAAUUCGAUGCAACGCGAAGAACCUUACCAAGGCUUGACAUAUACGAGAACGGGCCAGAAAUGGUCAACUCUUUGGACACUCGUAAACAGGUGGUGCAUGGUUGUCGUCAGCUCGUGUCGUGAGAUGUUCGGUUAAGUCCGGCAACGAGCGCAACCCUCGUCCUAUGUUGCCAGCACGUGAUGGUGGGAACUCAUGGGAUACUGCCGUGGUCAACACGGAGGAAGGUGGGGAUGACGUCAAAUCAUCAUGCCCCUUAUGUCUUGGGCUUCACGCAUGCUACAAUGGCCGAUACAAUGGGCUGCGAUACCGUAAGGUGGAGCGAAUCCCAAAAAGUCGGUCUCAGUUCGGAUUGGGGUCUGCAACUCG
rnacentral:rRNA from 1 species